GCCAUCGUGGUGUAAUGGCUAACAUACUCGACGCUUAUUCGAGAGAUCCGAGGUUCGAGUCCCGGCGAGGGCA
rnacentral:tRNA from 1 species